ACUAACAAGGAUUCCCCUAGUAACUGCGAGUGAAGCGGGAAAAGCUCAAAUUUAAAAUCUGGCAGUCUUUGGCUGUCCGAGUUGUAAUCUAGAGAAGCAUUAUCCGCGCUGGACCGUGUACAAGUCUCCUGGAAUGGAGCGUCAUAGAGGGUGAGAAUCCCGUCUUUGACACGGACUGCCAGGGCUUUGUGAUGUGCUCUCAAAGAGUCGAGUUGUUUGGGAAUGCAGCUCAAAAUGGGUGGUAAAUUCCAUCUAAAGCUAAAUAUUGGCGAGAGACCGAUAGCGAACAAGUACCGUGAGGGAAAGAUGAAAAGAACUUUGGAAAGAGAGUUAAACAGUACGUGAAAUUGCUGAAAGGGAAACGCUUGAAGUCAGUCACGUUGGCCAGUGAUCAACCUUGCUUUUUUGCUUGGCUUACUUUCUGGUCAAUGGGUCAGCAUCAAUUUUGGCUGGUGGAAAAAGUUCAAGGGAAUGUGGCAUCUUUGGAUGUGUUAUAGCCUUUGUUCGCAUACAUCAGUUGGGAUUGAGGAACUCAGCAUGCCGCAAGGCCGGGUUUUUAUUAACCACGUUACAUGCUUAGGAUGCUGGCAUAAUGGCUUUAAUCGACCCGUCUUGAAACACGGACCAAGGAGUCUAACAUGCCUGCGAGUGUUUGGGUGAAAAACCCGAGCGCGUAAUGAAAGUGAAAGUUGAGAUCCCUGUCGUGGGGAGCAUUGACGCCCAGAUCUGACCUUUUGUGACGAUUCUGCGGUAGAGCAUGUAUGUUGGGACCCGAAAGAUGGUGAACUAUGCCUGAAUAGGGUGAAGCCAGAGGAAACUCUGGUGGAGGCUCGUAGCGAUUCUGACGUGCAAAUCGAUCGUCAAAUUUGGGUAUAGGGGCGAAAGACUAAUCGAACCAUC
rnacentral:rRNA from 1 species